rnacentral:rRNA from 1 species
AGCAGCCGCGGUAAUUCCAGCUCCAAUAGCGUAUAUUAAAGUUGUUGCAGUUAAAAAGCUCGUAGUUGAAUUUCGGAAUCAAUGGAUCGGUCAUGCCACUCGGUGUGUACUGGUUUGAUUGGUUCUCACCUUCUAAGGAACCGUGAUGUCAUUAAUUUGGUGUCGCGGGGAAUUAGGACUGUUACCUUGAAAAAAUUAGAGUGUUUAAAGCAAGCUCACGCUUGAAUACAUUAGCAUGGAAUAACGAAAUAGGACAUUGUAUUCUAUUUUGUUGGUUUCUAGGAUCGAUGUAAUGAUUAAUAGGGAUAGUUGGGGGCAUUAGUAUUCAAUUGUCAGAGGUGAAAUUCUUGGAUUUAUUGAAGACUAACUACUGCGAAAGCAUUUGCCAAGGAUGUUUUCAUUAAUCAAGAACGAAAGUUAGGGGAUCGAAGACGAUCAGAUACCGUCGUAGUCUUAACCAUAAACUAUGCCGACUAGGGAUCGGAUGAUGUUAAUUUUUAAUGACUC